UACCCGCCCCCUUGGCCGGUAGCUUAACACAUGCAGUCGAGCGUUCCGCAAGGGGAGCGGCAGACGGGUGAAUAACGCGUGGGAAUCUACCCUUUUCUACGGAAUAACGCAGGGAAACUUGUGCUAAUACCGUAUGAGCCCUUCGGGGGAAAGAUUUAUCGGGAAAGGAUGAGCCCGCGUUGGAUUAGCUAGUUGGUUGGGUAAAGGCCUACCAAGGCGACGAUCCAUAGCUGGUCUGAGAGGAUGAUCAGCCACAUUGGGACUGAGACACGGCCCAAACUCCUACGGGAGGCAGCAGUGGGGAAUAUUGGACAAUGGGCGCAAGCCUGAUCCAGCCAUGCCGCGUGAGUGAUGAAGGCCCUAGGGCUGUAAAGCUCUUUCACCGGUGAAGAUAAUGACGGUAACCGGAGAAGAAAAAAAACCUCUCUUUGUGCUAGCGGCCGCGGUAAUACGAAGGGGCUAGCGUUGUUCGGAAUUACUGGGCGUAAAGCGCACGUAGGCGGAUUGUUAAGUGAGGGUGAAAUCCCAGGGCUCAACCCUGGAACUGCCUUUCAUACUGCAAUCUAGAGUCCAGAAGAGGUGAGUGGAAUUCCGAGUGUAGAGGUGAAAUUCGUAGAUAUUCGCAGGAACACCAGUGGCGAAGGCGGCUCACGUGUUCUGCACUGACGCUGAUGUGCGAAAGCGUGGGGAGCAAUCAGGGAUUACAUACCCUUGUUAGUCCACGCCUUAAACUACGACGGUAGCCCGCCGGGCAGUAUACUGAUCGGGGCUGCAGCUCACGCAUUAAUCAUAUCGGCCUGAGGAG
rnacentral:rRNA from 1 species